rnacentral:rRNA from 1 species
UACGUAGGGUGCAAGCGUUGUCCGGAAUUAUUGGGCGUAAAGAGUUCGUAGGCGGUUUGUCGCGUCCGUUGUGAAAGCUUGGGGCUCAACCCCAGGUCUGCAGUGGAUACGGGCAGGCUAGAGUCAGGUAGGGGAGAACGGAAUUCCUGGUGUAGCGGUGAAAUGCGCAGAUAUCAGGAGGAACACCGGUGGCGAAGGCGGGUCUCUGGGCCGAUACUGACGCUGAGGAGCGAAAGCGUGGGGAGCGAACAGG